GACGAACGCUGGCGGCGUGCUUAACACAUGCAAGUCGAGCGGAGCGGCGAACGGGUGAGUAACGCGUGAGUAACUGCCCCCAUCUCUGGGAUAACAGUUGGAAACGGCAGCUAAUACCGGAUAGUGGGGGAUGACUCGGGGCCUAUAGGCUUGUUGGUGGGGUGUUGGCCUACCAAGGCGACGACGGGUAGCCGGCCUGAGAGGGCGACCGGCCACGUUGGGCUGCGAUACGGACCAAAGUCCUACGGGAGGCAGCGGGGGGGAAUAUUGCACAAUGGGGGAAACCCUGAUGCAGCAACGCGCGUGCGGUGUGGCGGACUGCGGGUUGUAAACCGCUUUCAGCCAUGACGCGGUAGUGGCAGAAGAAGCACCGCCUAACUACGUGCCAGCAGCCGCGGUAAUAC
rnacentral:rRNA from 1 species